rnacentral:misc_RNA from 1 species
GUCGGCCACUCAGAGGUG